rnacentral:rRNA from 1 species
AGUGAACGCUGGCGGUAGGCCUAACACAUGCAAGUCGAACGGCAGCACAGUAAGAGCUUGCUCUUACGGGUGGCGAGUGGCGGACGGGUGAGGAAUACAUCGGAAUCUACUUUUUCGUGGGGGAUAACGUAGGGAAACUUACGCUAGUACCGCAUACGACCUACGGGUGAAAGCAGGGGAUCUUCGGACCUUGCGCGAUUGAAUGAGCCGAUGUCGGAUUAGCUAGUUGGCGGGGUAAAGGCCCACCCAGGCGACGGUCCGUAGCUGGUCUGAGAGGGUGAACAGGCACACUGGAACUGGGACACGGACCAGACACCUACGGGAGGCAGCAGUGGGGAAUAUUGGACAAUGGGCGCAAGCCUGAUCCAGCCAUACCGCGUGGGUGAAGAAGGCCUUCGGGUUGUAAAGCCCUUUUGUUGGGAAAGAAAAGCAGCAGGUUAAUACCCCGCUGUUCUGACGGUACCCAAAGAAUAAGCACCGGCUAACUUCGUG